GGGCCUAUAGGCUGCAAGACAGCGACGGCAAGACCCAACCAAACUGCUGAAUGCCAUGCACCUCAAAACCUAUUAUUCUUAAAUACGAUUUCUGGAUCAUGCUUUGUACUGCUUUAUUAAUAUUAUAUAAGCAUUUUGGUUUCCUGCUCCUACUUAUUCUCAAUGUCUUCGGACUAAUCUUAUCUAAUAAAAAAUGAGUUUUGACUAGAGGAGCAGCAGGAA
rnacentral:lncRNA from 1 species